CUGGUCAUCCAUGUUCACUGCUAUCCUAUUCCAACAGCCAGGGAAUGAAAACAGCGUGUCUGUCCAUCAAAUGAUGGAUUUCAACCAGAGCAAAGCAGCACUCUCCCUAAUGCAGAGGAAGGCCUGUUAGAACACAGGCAGAAAUGGGGGCUGGCAGAGAAGAGGAACCUGAUCCAGGCCCCAAGAUGGUAACACUUUGGGGACCUCAUCUCGGGAUGUUUUCUGAGGACCAUCAGCUCAUCGAGGACAGUGUAAACCAAGGCAAAGCACUGAAGGCAUAGGAAGGCAAACAGCUGUCUGAGUCCAGUCAUCUCAAGAACAACUUCUCCGUCUUGCUGCCAGGGUCAAGCAAGUUCACGAUCCCAGGCCCAGGAACCAACUCCUAUCCUGAUUAAUGGAAACUCCCUUGUUCAACCCUUUAUGUCAAAAUAUGAUUGGACAAUGCUACAGCCCACCCAGCUCCCCCUCUCUUUAUGGUUUCAUCCCUUAAAUAUGCUGUGCAACGUCCCUUCAGGGUCAUAGUUUAGAUCCUGAUUCUGUUCUGUG
ensembl:lncRNA LOC102554233 uncharacterized LOC102554233